UACAGAGGGUGCAAGCGUUGUUCGGAAUCAUUGGGCGUAAAGGGCGCGUAGGCGGUCCGGUAAGUCAGGUGUGAAAUCCCAGGGCUCAACCUUGGAAGUGCAUUUGAAACUACCGAACUAGAAUCUCGGAGAGGGUGGUGGAAUUCCCAGUGUAGAGGUGAAAUUCGUAGAUAUUGGGAGGAACACCGGUGGCGAAGGCGACCACCUGGACGAAGAUUGACGCUGAGGCGCGAAAGCGUGGGGAGCAAACAG
rnacentral:rRNA from 1 species